GCAUAGCUUAGGCGGUAGAGCGGCUGGCAUUUAACCAGUAGGUUGAGCGUUCGAUUCUCGCCAGGACCA